rnacentral:rRNA from 1 species
UACGUAGGUGGCGAGCGUUGUCCGGAAUUACUGGGUGUAAAGGGCGUGUAGACGGGUGUGCAAGUCAGAUGUGAAAUUCCAGGGCUCAACCCUGGCGCUGCAUCUGAAACUGUAUAUCUUGAGUGCUGGAGAGGAAAGCGGAAUUCCUAGUGUAGCGGUGAAAUGCGUAGAUAUUAGGAGGAACACCAGUGGCGAAGGCGGCUUUCUGGACAGUAACUGACGUUGAGGCGCGAAAGCGUGGGGAGCAAACAGGAUUAGAUACC